rnacentral:rRNA from 1 species
GAUGAACGCUAGCGGCAGGCUUAAUACAUGCAAGUCGAGGGGCAUCAAGGUACACGAAAGUGUAUUGUUGGCGACCGGCGGACGGGUGAGUAAUAGGUAGGUAACCUACCUCAUACUGAGGCAUAGCUGGGAGAAAUUCCAGGUAAUUCCUCAUGAGGUUAUAUGACACAUGUGAUAUAAUCAAAGGUAUCGCAAGGUACUGGUAUGAGAUGGGCUUACUGACCAUUAGCUAGUUGGUGAGAUAAGAGCUCACCAAGGCGAAGAUGGUUAGGGGUUUUGAGAGAGAGAUCCCCCACAUUGGAACUGAGAUACGGUCCAGACUCCUACGGGAGGCAGCAGUAGGGAAUAUUGGGCAAUGGGCGGAAGCCUGACCCAGCCAUGCCGCGUGAAGGAGACGGCCUUAUGGGUUGUAAACUUCUUUACUAUGCGACUAACUAGAUUUACGAGAUAAUUCUAUAGAAUGUAGCAUAGCAAAAGCACCGGA